AUGGCACCUUUGUCACCUUCCCCGAUCACAGUAUUCAUCACGGGCUAUCCAUUCCCGACAACGCAUGCUUCGUUGGCGUGUGUCACAGCUGGCUCGUCUUUUCCCGCAUCUCAGACUUGUGGCGACGUAGCUACCUCUUGUACAACCCUUUCACCAAAUCAACGGUGCCGCUUCCGGGGCUUGACUCUGCCAUCGACGAUACCUCUUACCAGUUCGAGGUCCAGAAGGUACUUAUGGGGUCGACCAAAGAUGAUAUCGGUCGCGGUGACAACCAACAAUUGCAAUUACCCGAUCAUCUUGUGCCGCCCCGGGAAACCCGGCGCAUGGUGGCCCCGACGGGGCGAGAUGCCAUAUGCGUCCAUAUUUGAUGUCGUGUUCUACAAAGACAACCUAUGUGGGAUCACUAAGAGCAAUGAUCUUGUUGUGAUGGAUAUUGAUCAAGACGACGAGGGAAUCCCCUUUGUUAAGGAUAUUAAGUAUGUUAUCAUGCACCCAUCAGGUGAUGAUGAUGAGGCGGAUGAGGAGGAGCGGGACGAGGAAGACGAGUACAAAGACGGCGGAGAAGUGUCGAGCAAUGACGAGGUGGAGUACAACGAGACAUCAAGCAUUGACGAGGACGGCGAAGAGUUGGACGAUGCAUCGAUUGUCAACGAUGACUCUGACGAUGAUAAGGUAACAAUGAACAAACUGGCGAACAAGGACAACAACUUUAACAUGGAUGACCACGAAGAAGUGUCGAGCAAUGAGGGUGAAGAAGACGUGGAUGAUGGAGAUUACGAUGAUGGGUCGGGUAUCUUAGGUGAUUCAUUUUUUGAAGGCAUGAUACCGAACGACUCUGACUACAUGGUUCCAGACGGCAAUGAGUAUGCACAUGGAGAAGACCUAGAUGGCAUCGUGACCAGUCGACAUCUCUUUGAGUCGAAUGGCAAGUUACUCAUGGUAAGGCGGCGACAAUACGUGCCUAUACUCUCUCGUUCUUACAAUCUAAAGGUUGAUGUUUUGGAGGCGGACGUCAAUGCCGGCGUAUGGAUUCCUCGUAUCGAUGGCGUGCCAGGUGCAUUUUUCAUGAGCAAACAUUACUCAAUACAUGUUCCCACAUACAAAGAGGCGGGAAAGAAGUUUAUCCACCACUUUGUAGAUGAGCAUAAUGUGGGGGUCGAUUCAAGAUCGCGACGAUUUAGUCUAAGUGAGGGUAAGCCGAUGUGGUUUUCCCCACAAGAGCCAGUUGUAUGA
rnacentral:rRNA from 1 species